rnacentral:lncRNA from 1 species
UCCAUUUAUUUUUAUUUCUAGUCUGAAUGAAUCUGAAAGCAUAUCACACCCCGCUUCCUUGUACCCCUGAAAUAUAGUUAUAGAUCCAGGCUAAAAGGAUGCUUUGAUUUAAUAAUUUGCUGCUGUGUCUAACCCUUGCUGCAUGUAAUUCACUGCAGGCAGAACAAAGCUCUGUCACAACUGUGCUUCCUGGUUGUCGCCUCCUGCCUGCAAACCACUGAACAUUUUCCACUUGAUAUCGUCAUGCAGAAAGGGAGAAACGAGACGCAAUGAGAGAUUCAGAUACCAAAAGAUUAAAGUCAGAUGCUCGUCUACAAACUGCCUAACCAUUGUCCUUCGCUGGUGAGAUAAAAGGAAGAAGUCACGGAAAGAGAGGAACUACACCAGGCUUCAGAUUUUGGACUAUACGACAAGACUCUGUAAGAUACUCGGUG